GAGGAUGUGAAGGAGGCUUUGAACUGGGGGAAAAGGCAGCAAUGAGGUGUGGCUGUAGCCCAGGAAUAGUCAGGGAAGCAGAUAAUUUAAAUUUAGUUAAAGUGUCUCGGCCUAAUAAGGGAACAGGGCAGGUGGGGAUAACUAAAAAGGAGUGCUUAAAAGAGUAUUGUCUAAGUUGGCACCAGAGUUGAGGAGUUUUAAGAGGUUUAGAAGCCUGGCCGUCAGUACCUGCAAUAGUUACGGAGGCAAGGGAAACAAGCCUUUGAAAAGAAGGUAAUGUGGAGUGGGUUGCCUCUGUAUUGAUUAAGAAGGGGACAGACUUACCCUCCACUGUGAGAGUUACCCAGAGCGUCUGUGAUGGUCCUGUAGGCUUUUGAGGCGAUCUGGCAGUGUCAGUCUUCAGCUGCUAAGCUGAGAAGAUCUGGGAAGGAGUCAGAGAGCCUUGGGCCAGAGUUCUAGGGGCCCUGAGAGUGGCUGCCAGGGCUGGCAAGAUGAUCAAAGGAGGUGCGGUGUGACUCGCAAGCUGGAGAGACGGGAAAGCCUGCUCCUGAUGUGGAAAGCAUCAUUAUUAUCCCCCACUGCAGACAGCCACAGAGCGCUGGAGCUGGGAGGAACCUUCCAGAUCCCUCAGGGGCUGGACUGCUUAUCUCCACAGCAGCAGCCCCGCACCUCUGAGGCAACAAAGCUAGAAGCUGUCAUUUCAAGUGGAGAAACGCAGGCGCAGAAAAGAACCUGGAACUAGCAGCUGUUUUGGCAGCCAGAUGAGAUGCCCCCUGGGAGAGCCAUGCCUCUUGUGGAAAGGGCCUGCUCCUCCUCACCUUCAGGAAGUUCUACUAAAAUUCAGUAAUCUUACUAGGCAGUAAGAUUCAGGACAUAGGCAUGGGCAAGGACUUCAUGUCUAAAACACCAAAAGCAAUGGCAACAAAAGACAAAAUUGACAAAUGGGAUCUAAUUAAACUAAA
rnacentral:lncRNA from 1 species